GAGGCUAGCGGCAGGCAUCUACAUGCAAGUCAAGGGGGUAGCAAUACAACCGGCGCACGGGUGAGUAACGCGUACACAACAUGCCAUAUACUGGGGUAUAGCUUUGGGAAACUGAAGGUAAUCCCCCAUAGUAUUUCGGUUAGGCAUCUAACUGGAAUUAAAGUUUCGACGGUAUAUGAUUGGUGUGCGUUCCAUUAGCUAGUUGGUAGGGUAACGGCCUACCAAGGCGACGAUGGGUAGCUGGCGUGAGAGCGCGACCAGCCACACUGGAACUGAGACACGGUUCAGACUCCUACGGGAGGCAGCAGUAGGGAAUAUUGGACAAUGGGCGAAAGCCUGAUCCAGCCAUGCCGCGUGAUAGAUGAAGGCCCUCUGGGUUGUAAAUAUCUUUUAUCUGGGAAGAAACUCCUCUAUUCUUAGAGGCCUGACGGUACCAGAGGAAUAAGCACCGGCUAACUCCGUGCCAGCAGCCGCGGUAAUACGGAGGGUGCAAGCGUUAUCCGGAUUCACUGGGUUUAAAGGGUGCGUAGGCGGGUUGAUAAGUCAGUGGUGAAAGCUCCGGGCUUAACUUGGAAACUGCCAUUGAUACUGUCCAUCUUGAAUGUCGUAGAGGUAAGCGGAAUGUUGCAUGUAGCGGUGAAAUGCUUAGAUAUGUUACAGAACACCAAUUGCGAAGGCAGCUUACUAUGCGAUAAUUGACGCUGAGGCACGAAAGCGUGGGGAGCAAACAGGAUUAGAUACCCCUGGUAGUCCACGCCCUAAACGAUGAUUACUCGAUGUUGGCGAUACACAGUCAGCGUCUUAGCGAAAGCGUUAAGUAAUCCACCUGGGGAGUACGCUCGCAAGAGUGAAACUCAAAUGAAUUGACGG
rnacentral:rRNA from 1 species